UGGGAGGGGGAUAACAGCUGGAAACGGCUGCUAAUACCCCAUAUCCUGAGGAGGGAAAGGAGAGAUCCGCCCAGGGAGGGGCUUGCGUCUGAUUAGCUAGUUGGGGGGGUAAUGGCCUCCCAAGGCAACGAUCAGUUGCUGGUCUGAGAGGAUGAUCAGCCACACUGGGACUGAGACACGGCCCAGACUCCUACGGGAGGCAGCAGUGAGGAAUCUUCCGCAAUGGGCGAAAGCCUGACGGGGCAAUGCCGCGUGGAGGAUGAAGGCCCAAUGGGUCGUAAACUUCUUUAGAUCAGAGACGAAGAGAUGACGGUACCUGAAGAACUAAGCAUCGGCUAAACCCCGUGCCAGCAGCCGCGGUAAGACGGGGGAUGCGAGCGUUAUCCGGAAUGAUUGGGCGUAAAGGGUCCGCAGGUGGCCCGGUCAGUCCGCUGUCAAAACCUGGGGCUCAACCCUGGACAGGCGGCGGAGACCACCGGGCUUGAGUCCGGUAGGGGCAGAGGGAAUUCCCGGUGGAGCGGUGAAAUGCGUAGAGAUCGGGAAGAACGCCAAGGGCGAAGGCACUCUGCUAGGCCUGAUUUCG
rnacentral:rRNA from 1 species